CCAAAAUCAAUUAAAGAAUUGAUCGAAUAGACGUGAAGCUUUCAAUGAUUGUAGAAAUGCUACAGGCGAGAAGUGCCCCUCAGCCUCAAAAGGCACAAAAAAGUGCCCCGCUUCUCGAGCAAGCACAACAGUCCCCUACAGAUCUGUGGGAGGAUGGCCAAGACCUUAAUGGUUUGGAUUAC
rnacentral:lncRNA from 1 species